AUGUUAGUUAUGUCUUGCAGUUUAUUGAUAUAGCUCCGACUUUCUUCCAGACAUCAUUACUGGUAGUCUCUGGUGUCAUGGUUGUUACAUAAUGUUGCCAUGAAAUUCUUUGGGCUUCUAGUAUUCCCCUACGACACUGAGAUCUUCGUUUUUUGAACUCUACAAGAUUCUCCAACGUGACCACCACGGGACCAUCUUUCGCCUAUUGCCAGGUUUAGAUUUAGAUAUGCUGGCGUCAGCGGCGUUUAUGAUGGAAGAGCUAUCGUUUUUAUUGGAAGAUUAUGACCCCUGACUGUGAUAAUAAUGGGAAAAUGGUCACUAUGAUGUAGAUCAUCUUCCACCUCCCAUUUCAGGCUAGUAUGUAUACCUGGUGAACAUACUGAUACAUCGAUGGAGUCAAAUGUGCC